UGGAUAACUGUGGUAAUUCUAGAGCUAAUACAUGCACCAAAGCUCCAAUCUCCCCAGAGCGGAGCGCAUUUGUUCGCCACAAAACCAAGCGCCCUCCGGGCGUCCAGUGUUGACUCAGAACAACUAAGCUGAUCGCACGGUCUUGUACCGGCGACGUGUCUUUCAAGUGUCUGCCUUAUCAACUUUCGAUGGUAGUGUACCUGACUACCAUGGUGAUGACGGGUAACGGAGGAUAAGGGUUCGACUCCGGAGAAGGGGCCUGAGAAAUGGCCACUACGUCUAAGGAUGGCAGCAGGCGCGCAAAUUACCCACUCUCAACAUGAGGAGGUAGUGACGAGAAAUGACGAGACCGAUCUCGUACGAGGCCGGUCAUCGGAAUGGGUACAAUUUAAACCCUUUAACGAGUAUCUAUGAGAGGGCAAGUCUGGUGCCAGCAGCCGCGGUAAUUCCAGCUCUCAAAAUGCAUAGAAUUAUUGCUGCGGUUAAAAAGCUCGUAGUUGGAUCUGUGCUAGCCGUCCGGUGCACUCUCUGAGUGUUACUGGUUCGGCUGGCUUUUCUGCCGGUCUCUCCCCGGCGUUGGCCUUUACCGGUCGGCGAUCGGUGGGCUGGCGAGUUUACUUUGAACAAAUCAGAGUGCUUCAAACAGGCGUUUCGCUUGAAUGUUCGUGCAUGGAAUAAUAGAAGAGGAUUUCGGUCCGAUUUUAUUGGUUUUGCUGACCGAGAUAAUGGUUAACAGAGACAAACGGGGCCAUUCGUAUUGCUACGUGAGAGGUGAAAUUCUUGGACCGUAGCAAGACGGACUACAGCGAAAGCAUUUGGCAAGAAUGUCUUCAUUAAUCAAGAACGAAAGUCAGAGGUUCGAAGGCGAUCAGAUACCGCCCUAGUUCUGACCGUAAACGAUGCCAACUAGCGAUCCGCCGGCGGAUUUAUUCGCCCUGGUGGGGAGCUUCCCGGAAACGAAAGUCUUCCGGUUCCGGGGGAAGUAUGGUUGCAAAGCUGAAACUUAAAGGAAUUGACGGAAGGGCACCACCAGGAGUGGAGCCUGCGGCUUAAUUUGACUCAACACGGGGAAACUCACCCGGCCCGGACACCGUAAGGAUUGACAGAUUGAUAGCUUUUUCAUGAUUCGGUGGAUGGUGGUGCAUGGCCGUUCUUAGUUCGUGGAGCGAUUUGUCUGGUUUAUUCCGAUAACGAGCGAGACUCUGGCCUACUAAAUAGUUGGCUCAUUGCUUCUGUGGGCACAACUUCUUAGAGGGAUUUUCGGUGUUCAGCCGCACGAAAUUGAGCAAUAACAGGUCUGUGAUGCCCUUAGAUGUCCGGGGCUGCACGCGCGCUACACUGGCAAAAUCAGCGUGCUUGUCCUUCCCCGAAAGGGGUUGGUAAACCGGUGAAAAUUUGCCGUGAUUGGGAUCGGACAUUGCAAUUAUUGUCCGUGAACGAGGAAUUCCUUGUAGGGGCGAGUCAUCAACUCGCUCUGAAUACGUCCCUGCCCUUUGUACACACCGCCCGUCGCUGCCCGGGACUGAGCCAUUUCGAGAAAUUCGGGGACGGUUAGUGUGCCUGCUUCGGUCGACACACGGACUGGAACCGAUUUAAUCGCAGUGGCUUGAACCGGGCAAAAGUCGUA
rnacentral:rRNA from 1 species